AUAUGGAAUAAAAGUGAUACACACUUGCAAAAAAUGUAGCUUUAUUGGCAAACCACUCAAAAUAAUCCAGAAUACAAGCCGUAAGCAAAGUUGAUAACGAUAGACCAAUCAAACCCAUUUUUUCAAAGAUUGACUUUAGGACUAACGUUUUGCCAUUUUCACAUACAAGCUCCCCAAAAUUGAGGAGUUCUGGAGUUUUUUUGGACAAUUAUGUCAAGAACCCAGAAUAUAAGUUUUGCAAGAACUAUCAAAAGAUUCAGAAUAUGUCUUGACAUCCAGACGCUGAUUGGCAUCCGAAAAUUAAGCGAAAUCAAAGCACAAAUCCCUGUUGUAGUGUGACCGAAGUCCAAGGAUGAGUCGACUCAGUCAUGAUGUUGAGGAUCAACAGCCACAUUAAUGAAGUCGAUCCAAUUAAGCAGAUGUUGAUUGAGAUGACGCAAAGACCUUAUUUAUCGUUGACUUCGUGAACUUCCCGACUUCAUGACGAAAUAGGUAACAAAGUUUUAUUUAUUAAUUUCUAAUUGUCUUGCUUUUUCUCGUGGAUAUGCAACAAGUAUCGAUCCUAAUGUCAUGACCAACAAGCAUGCAUUUACCAUGGUGUAAGCAUAUGUCAGUGACUUUUUCGAAAAGUCAAAGUCGUUGUGACAAUCAAAAGUCUGUCACGACCAAAUGAAGAAAGUCGUCUUGUCGUUGCGUCAAAAUGAAGAAGGUCGUCGUAACAGAUGAAUAAGUCCGUCGCGACCAGAAAGUCCAUCUAGACAAAUGAAGUCGUCGCGACAAACAGACGUCGACCUAACAGUGACAUCAUCUUAGUGCCAGUCUUUAACCAAAGACGUCUUCUCUGUCACGAGCCGUCACCCGUAUGUGCAACACAUUAGUAAGCUCUUUUUACUUGGCGUGACAGUAAGGUAAUUCUCUUUAAAAUUACUUACAUUUGUUUUGGUAAAACUCUAAUUUAACAUCAUGGUAUCGAUUUAAUAUGUUUCGAAUUCGGACAUGACUAACUGCAUCAAUCUAUUUGUUUUGAGAUAAGACAAGUUUGUCAGGCAAAUGGAGAAUAGAUUAUAGCAUCAAGGUUCUACACUAUCAGCUACCGCCCAAGGACAAUACUAAAGUCACAUAUGUCAUCUAAUUUUGUGGCUAACUUCAGUCCAAAACUAAGUUCGAUGUGUGAAAACCUUUGUUUUAUCCUAAAGUCGCCACAGGGGACAUGAUAGUAGAUUUAAUUGUUGUGACUUAGAUUGUAACUUAUGAUAUUUUUUGUCAUGACUUUGAAAGUGAUUAACAAUCAUGCAUGCUUAUAGAAUUUGAGUACAAGGUACAAUGUUAGUCAACGACAUAAGUGUCAUGGGGGAUCGACAUCAACUAUGAUUAUGCACUGUCACUCAAAGAAGUCUAAAGAUCUUAAGCAGAUAAAGACGCUAGAAACUUCCGGUGUCAUCAUGACAUGAAAGACAUCCAAAAAAAUCAGGCAAAAACCACAUUGGGGGUUGAUACCAGGAUGACAACAUUUGACAUUGAAAUGUCUUUGACCAUUAACGUCGUCAAAUUGAAAAUCGUUUGACACAAUGAUGACAAGUUCAACGACAACGACGCUAUGGUCAGGAUAGUGAUGACAAGAAUCAAUUGACGAACGGGACUGACACCCAUACUCAGCACUGUGACGAUCCAUGCACAUAUCAAAACAUCAUCAAUGAGUACUCAAUCCUAAAGUCACUCAAUCUUAUAGUACUUUCGUUCCUCCUUCAUUACUGAUUUUAUUCGUUUCACUUUAUUUUUUGCAAUUGUUUGUCUCAGUUACUUAUACCUUUAUGAUUCUCACCAUCUCGAUCUUACAUAUCAUUAAUCUCGUUGUUAUCAUUAUAAAUGUCAUUGUUAUCAUUAUUUUAA